UACGUAGGGUGCAGGCGUUAAUCGGAAUUACUGGGCGUAAAGCGUGCGCAGGCGGUCUUUUAAGUCAGAUGUGAAAUCCCCGGGCUUAACCUGGGAACUGCGGUUGAAACUGGCGAACUAGAAUCUGGCAGGAGGGGGGUGGAAUUCCACGUGUAGCAGUGAAAUGCGUAGAGAUGUGGAGGAACACCGAUGGCGCAAGGCAGCCCCCUGGGACGUAAGCAUUGACGCUCAGGCACGAAAGCGUGGGGAGCAAACAGG
rnacentral:rRNA from 1 species